GAGGGUAGCUGUCUGCAGUGCAGGAAGCUGACUAUGAAGGGUAAAGAGAGUGCCGUUAGGGUUCCUGCUGUUCGCUAUGAAUUGAGCUCUGCAUGCUGAGAUGGUGAAAGCAGUGGGGUGGCCUUGACAUGAAGACCCCCUAAAG
rfam:Loxodonta africana cont3.23648, whole genome shotgun sequence.